UCAGGCGUCAAGACGCGGCCAUUCUCUCCCACACUCCCAGUGAUGGAUAAUCUGGCUUUGUUUCUUAUGGCUUCAGAAAAGGACACAAAUAUUGCUGACGUCUCUGAUGGAAAAACUGCUGUAUUGCCUAAAAUGUCUAUUUACCUUAGUGAUACUUUGAGCAUAAAAGUUGAAUUUCAUCUAAUAAAUGUGAAUUGUAGUCAAAAUUCUGAUGAUCACUCUUCCUUAAAGGUCUGGCUCAAGGACUACCAUCAGGUUGCUAAAUUCUGGGUAUUCUGCGAGGAAGUUGGGUUAAAAGUCUGUGCACUCUUUGCCACCUUCAUUCUCUUCGCUUCUGCCCUGG
rnacentral:lncRNA from 1 species